AACGAAUAAUACAGUUAUGUCAAAAAAAUUACUGUUAUUAAUAAGCAAUGCACAAGAAACUGAACCACAAAACAAAAAUACAGAUGUCGUUGCUCGUCAUCAGCUUUUGUUUUACUUAUACAUUCCUUGAUAAGUAAGAUCGCCAAAUGUUAGUGAAAAUCAAAAAGAAGAAUGUGUGAAACAAAUGAAAUUACUAUGUAAUAGCAAGUACACCAGUUGUUCAGUAGCUUCUUCACUCAUGUAUGAGUAGAUAUUUGCUGAAAAUACAUGCCUAUGAAUGUGAGUGGACAUCACCACCGUAUUUGAAGCAUGUUAAUCAUGUGAAUCUGUGUAAUCAAAUUAAUCACUCUUGCAGUUCUCUGGUGUGCACAUACUUUUGACUACUGGUAUUCAUUAUUUCCUUUGGUCUGUCAUAUGUCCAUUUAUUCUAACUAUACUUACAUCCUUCGCUUAGGAAUAGAUCAAGAUUUACAACUACAUAACAUUUUAUUGUGCUGCAACAACAAUAUAUAAAGCUUUUUCUGUGGAAUUUGUAAAACACGUUCAACGUGUAAAUACUUGUGUCUAUCUCUGUAUAUAAAUUUUGGUUUGUAUUUACAUUUCUUAAAUAUUUGCCCCUAUUUUCGUUGUCGUUAUCGUUUUAAACCAAAUAAGAACGCCUAUUUGGCAUUACUGUUGGCGUUAUCAACAUUUAUCGAAAAUAAAUUGAGAUUCCCCAAUUAGAAACGACUAUAGAAUUGACAUAGAAACAGUCGUUCUUUGUCGUUGCUAUAAUUGAGAGCGAUAUAGAAACGACGCGGUUAUUUGAAGUGAAGAUGAAAAUUCCAAAUCGGAAACAGUUUGAAAUUUUAAUUUCUGAAAUAGAAAAAUAUCCUGCAUAUGCCAACGUUUUUAGAAAAGGGAUAAAACCUUUAAAUUUCAAAUUUUUUGGACGGAUAUUUCCAAACAAUUCAAUUAAUUUGCAAGAGGAGUUAAUAAACAGAUACCACAGUCUCCUUUAGAAGAAGCUGUUGCGAAUUUAAUGCAGUUCGGUAAUUAGCUGGACCUCCAGGUAUACCAGCAAUGGCAGGAAGUGCUAUAAUCGGUGGAGUGUUACUGGCUUUAAUUGAAGGAGUUGGAAUUUUAUUUACCCGUCUUUCUGCAGAACAAUUUCGAAAUCCUACACCACCAAUUGAAGAUCCGAUAGCACUAGGCGAUACUGCACAAUCUUUAGGUUUGGGUCAAACCCAUCAGCAUCAAUCACAGUAUCAGUGAAUACGCGUUGUAAUAUGUACAGGAUUCUUAUUUAUACAUAUGCGUUGUAACAAAUUUGUGAACCACGUUCAUAACGGUGUAAAUUUAUUUUUAAUAGACCAUAAUAUUUAGCAAUUGUACAAUUUCUGAAAAUUACGUUAUAUUAACAUUUAAAUCUUAUAUUUCAAUAGUCAUUUGUAAUAUUCUGAUGAUUAUGUGAAAUAAAUUUAAAUUAAAUAAUGA